UGCCUGAGCUUCGAACUCCGCUAUCUUCUCAGCAGUCGAGAAUUCUCCUCAACAGCCUUUCUCAACGCCACCUCAGCAUCUUCAGCUCUCCUUUCGACGGCGUCAACUUUAAUGAAGACUUCUCCAGCUCCCUUCUCGGCCUUCACUUUUGCUCUUUUGAGCAUCUCAACUUCGAAUCCAAACUUCUUCACCUCUUUGGCCAGCUUAUGAGAGCUUUUAAUGUAU
rnacentral:lncRNA from 1 species